rnacentral:lncRNA from 1 species
AUGGUGCUGACAAAUGAUCCUGGUGCAUAUUUUACUCUGUCACAGAUAAACUACUUUCCAAAAAGACAAUUAACUUUUGGACCAUGGAAAGAACACAACUCAGAAUAUAUUCUCAAUCUACUGUGGUGAUGCUAUUACUUUGGAGAUUUUGGAGUAACCUAUCAUUUUGAGGCUACUUUUUGGAUAGAGCAUAAUCAUCAGUGAUGAAAUGCAUAUGCCAAACAUAUGUGCUGUUAUGACCUUAUUGUGUUAGUCACUUAAAUAAAUAAAUAAAUAAAUAAAUAAAUAAAUAAAUA